rnacentral:rRNA from 1 species
ACGGCUACCACUUCUACGGAAGGCAGCAGGCGCGAAAAUUAUCCAAUCCUGAUUCAGGGAGGUAGUGAAAGAAAUAAUGAACUAGGAUUUAUCCUGGGAUCACAAUGGGCUUGAUUUGCAAACUUUAUUAGCGAGGAACAAUUGGAGGGCAAGUCUGGUGCCAGCAGCCGCGGUAAUUCCAGCUCCAAUAGUGUAUAUUAAUGUUCCUGCAGUUAUUCGAUGCUCGUAGUUGGAUUUCUGGGGGCUGAUUCUGGACGGCGGCUAUGGCCGCCACCGGUUUCUUCCUUCAUCCACCUGUUAACGUUGUUCGAGAUUCAUUUCUCGGCUUCGGGCUCAGGUAUUUUACCCUUACUAUAUUCAUUUAUUUAUCUUCUUUUUGAGCAAAUUAUAGUGUUUCAGGCAGGCGUGCGCCGGAAUACUUUAGCAUGGAAUAAUCGAAUUGGACUGUGUUCCUUAUUUGUUGGUUUGAUGGGCACAGAAUGGUUAAUAGGGAUAGUAAUUUUCAGGGGAGGCAUUAGUAUUUAAUUUCCAGAGGUGAAAUUCUUUGAAAUAUUAAAGACUAACUUAUGCGAAAGCAUUUAUUUUGCCAAUAAUGUUUUCAUUAAUCAUUGAACGAAAGUUAGGGGAUCAAAGACGAUCAGAUACCGUCCUAGUCUUAACCAUAAACGUUGCCGACUAGGGAUCGGAGGGCGUGCACAUUCCGCCUUCGGCACCUUACGAGAAAUCAAAGUCUUUUGGGUUCUGGGGGUAGUAUGGUCGCAAGGCUGAAACUUAAAGGAAUUGACGGAAGGGCACCACCAGGAGUGGAGCUUGCGGCUCAAUUUGACUCAACACGGGAAAUCUUACCAGGUCCAGACAUAGCGAGGAUUGACAGAUUGAUAGCUCUUUCUUGAUUCUAUGGGUAUUUUUGGUGGUGCAUGGCCGUUCUUAGUUGGUGGAGUGAUUUGUCUGGUUAACUCCGUUAAACGAACGAGACCUCAGCCUGCUAAAUAGUUACUUGUCUUUCUUUUACGAGACAUGUUAACUUCUUAGAGGGACGUUGUGUGCAACCACAAGGAAGUUGAGGCAAUAACAGGUCUGUGAUGCCCUUAGAUGUCCUGGGCCGCACGCGUGCUACACUGAUACGUACAACGAGGUAUAUGUAUUUAUACAUCGAUGCUGCUCCGAAAUAGACAAAGCUAAAUCUUCUAAAAUACGUAUCGUGCUGCGGAUAGAUCGUUGAAAUUAUGAAUCUUGAAGGUGGAAUUCCUAGUAAGCGCGGGUCAUCAACCCGCGUUGAUUACGUCCCUGCCCUUUGUACACACCGCCCGUCGCUCCUACCAAUUUCGAGUGGCUCGGUGAACCUCUUUGGACUGUCGAGCAAUCGCGAAAUUAGAGUGAACCUGGUCACUUAGAGGAAGGAGAAGUCGUAACAAGGUU